ensembl:miRNA MIR339 microRNA 339
UCCCUGUCCUCCAGGAGCUCACUUAUAUCUGGCCGUGAGCUCCUCGAGGCCAGAGCCC